AAGGCCGAGAGCUGAUGACGAGUGUUCUUUUAGAACAUGAAGUGGUUGAUGCCAUGCUUCCAGGAAAAGCUCCUAAGCUUCAGGUAACAAGGAACCGUACCCCAAACCGACACAGGUGGUUGGGUAGAGAAUACCAAGGCGCUUGAGAGAACUCGGGUGAAGGAACUAGGCAAAAUGGCACCGUAACUUCGGGAGAAGGUGCGCCGGUGAGGGUGAAGGACUUGCUCCGUAAGCUCAUGCCGGUCGAAGAUACCAGGCCGCUGCGACUGUUUAUUAAAAACACAGCACUCUGCAAACACGAAAGUGGACGUAUAGGGUGUGACGCCUGCCCGGUGCCGGAAGGUUAAUUGAUGGGGUUAGCGCAAGCGAAGCUCUUGAUCGAAGCCCCGGUAAACGGCGGCCGUAACUAUAACGGUCCUAAGGUAGCGAAAUUCCUUGUCGGGUAAGUUCCGACCUGCACGAAUGGCGUAACGAUGGCGGCGCUGUCUCCACCCGAGACUCAGUGAAAUUGAAAUCGCUGUGAAGAUGCAGUGUAUCCGCGGCUAGACGGAAAGACCCCGUGAACCUUUACUAUAGCUUUGCACUGGACUUUGAAUUUGCUUGUGUAGGAUAGGUGGGAGGCUAUGAAGUGUGGACGCCAGUCUGCAUGGAGCCAUCCUUGAAAUACCACCCUGGCAACUUUGAGGUUCUAACUCAGGUCCGUUAUCCGGAUCGAGGACAGUGUAUGGUGGGUAGUUUGACUGGGGCGGUCUCCUCCCAAAGAGUAACGGAGGAGUACGAAGGUGCGCUCAGACCGGUCGGAAAUCGGUCGUAGAGUAUAAAGGCAAAAGCGCGCUUGACUGCGAGACCCACACGUCGAGCAGGUACGAAAGUAGGUCUUAGUGAUCCGGUGGUUCUGUAUGGAAGGGCCAUCGCUCAACGGAUAAAAGGUACUCCGGGGAUAACAGGCUGAUACCGCCCAAGAGUUCAUAUCGACGGCGGUGUUUGGCACCUCGAUGUCGGCUCAUCACAUCCUGGGGCUGAAGCCGGUCCCAAGGGUAUGGCUGUUCGCCAUUUAAAGUGGUACGCGAGCUGGGUUUAGAACGUCGUGAGACAGUUCGGUCCCUAUCUGCCGUGGACGUUUGAGAUUUGAGAGGGGCUGCUCCUAGUACGAGAGGACCGGAGUGGACGAACCUCUGGUGUUCCGGUUGUCACGCCAGUGGCAUUGCCGGGUAGCUAUGUUCGGAAAAGAUAACCGCUGAAAGCAUCUAAGCGGGAAACUUGCCUCAAGAUGAGAUCUCAC
rnacentral:rRNA from 1 species